CACUUGGAAGAACCACUGAGAAUCCGCCUCUUGACAUCUCUCCAGCGACUCAUCUGUGGUCCUGAAGAGAGGGUCCUCCAAGAAAGGCUCCACAUCCGGGGUCAGAAUACGGACCAACUCAUCAGCUUUGUCAUUCAUCUUAGACUUAUGAACCAAAGCAUCCACUAGCCUUUCGUUAGUGAUGGGCAUGCCCUCGUAUAGCUCCCUCCUCCCAAAAUAGAGGGCAAUAGCAUCUGGUCCGUUCUGGAUUGUGUUCUUGGGCAGGAUCACCGAUGGCUUUGGGAUGACCAUGGAGGACCCCAUGAGGAAGAACCCUUGGUUAUCGGUGGAAAAGCCAGCAAGAUCCUUGACUCUGUAGGCUGUGUUGCCAUUGCCAUUGUAAAAGACUAUAGAGUAGCCAUCCAAAGGGGUCCGCUGGCCGCUUGUGUGAUACAAUUCCACAUACUCCAAGAUGUCUUCUCCCGGAUUAUCUGCAUUAACCUCAUUAAUCAGGAGUGUGUGCUCCGCCUUCUGUUUCUCAGGGUUCUUAGAGAAGUUCAGAGAAUCCACCUCAUGUAGCAAGAUGCACGCAUGCAACAGAGAUGCAAUUAAAAGGCCAGGCCCCAUGGCCACAAAGACUAACAGCUCUCCAGGGGACAGAAGGGUUAGGUCCACUUUCCAAGAGCACUAAGCAGGACAGAACAGAAAACUUCAAGAAGCAGCAACUCUCUCUCUCUCAGUCGUGACCAGCUGUGGGUUCAACCAUCCUGAAUCCAAAGUUUAGAGGAAGGAAAAACACAAAGGUGGUGGCUAGUAUAGGCAUUUUUCUACACCUUACUUGGCUGGAGAACUGCACUGCAAAACUCGGAGAAGUGCACGCUUCGAAGGAGAACUGCAUUUCGGUUCGCAUACUAUUUCAGAAACAGCAAAUUAGCCUGGCACUGCAGUGGGGAAGACUGAAGGGGCCACAGGCCACUACCAUCCCUGAAGCACAUUUCUGGAAGGAGAGGGUGUGCUCCUUCCGCAGCAUUGGUCCUCAAACAAUUGAAGAGGCAUUGCCGCGUGGCUCAGACUGGCACUUUUAAAAAUGGUGAACUCAAUUAAGGUUUUUAAAAAGAGAAAGAGAGCGUGGAAGAAAAGAACCUGCUUAUGUGGUGUGAUUCAAACUGCUCUUUUCACUUAGCCUCUUGUGGGUAGCACAACCCACUGAACAUUUUGGAAACCUGUAACUGAAAAAAGUGGAUAAGAGAAGAAUCAACUCAUUUGAAAUGUGGUGUUGGAAGAGAGCUUUGUGCAUACAAUGGACUGCAAAAAAGAAAAAUAAUUGGGUGUUAGAACAAAUUAAACCAGAACAAUCACUAUAACUGAGGUUAUCAUACUUUGGACACAUCGUGAGAAGACAUGAUUCACUAGAAAAUACCAUAAUGCUGGGAAAAAUAGAAGGGAGUAGGAGAAGAGGAAGGCCAAACAAGAGAUGGGUUGAUUCCAUAAAGGAAGCCACAGACCCAAACUUACAAGAUGUGAACAGGGUGGCUUAUAACAGAUGCUCUUGGAGGUCGCUGAUUCAUAGGGUUGCCAUAAGUCAAAAAUGACAUAAAGGCAUGAAACAACAACAAAACUGCAAAGGGUACGUUUUCCCCAACACCUAUAAAACCACACUUAAACACUUCAGAUUUUUCUGCAUUUUUUUGGGGGGGGGUGCACACCAUUUACGCCUAGAAUUCCCUAAUGUUAUUUAACAAAGCUGCCUUGGGGUAUUUAAAUGAUAUGCAUGAGCUACUAAUAAAGAAGUCCAUAACGCAGGUCUUACCCCUGCCUUAGACAAGCAUCUCUCUCUCUGCCUAAGUCCUCAACUUUGGGAUAAUUA